GCCGGGGCGCGGGGGCGCACACCUGUAAUCCCUGCAGCUCGGGAGGCUGAGGCAGGAGGAUCGCAAGUUGGGGGCCAGCCUCCACAACUUAGGGAGGCCCUUAGCAAUUUAUUUAUUUUUUUUUUGUACCAAGGAUUGAACUCAGGGAAACUCGACCCCUGAGCCCCGUCCCCAGCCCUAUUUUACAUUUUAUUGAGAGACAGGGUCUCCCAGAGUUGCUUAGGGCCUCGCUUUGGCUGAGGCUGGCUUUGAACUCGCGAUCCUCCUGCCUCAG
rnacentral:sRNA from 1 species